rnacentral:lncRNA from 1 species
AUGGCUUACUAUGAUGAUGGGUACAUUUGGGCUCAAGAACACACCACUUUUUUUCCUGUAGCUCACCAAGAUCCAUUUGGCGCUUGACAAGCUAGGUGGAAGCUUGGGAAGAAGCGGGUCAAGAAGAUCAAAUACGCGGGAAAAACAUAAUCGGAUGCAAGGUAAUAAUUGGAGUACUGGAUGACGAUCACACUCAACGAAGAACCGAACACAAUCAAGUUACAAGCU